GCAUGUGGAUUAAUUCGAUGCAACGCGAAGAACCUUACCUGGGCUUGACAUGGACCGGAUCGGCGUAGAGAUACGUUUUCCCUUGUGGUCGGUUCACAGGUGGUGCAUGGUUGUCGUCAGCUCGUGUCGUGAGAUGUUGGGUUAAGUCCCGCAACGAGCGCAACCCUUGUCUUAUGUUGCCAGCACAUUAUGGUGGGUACUCAUGAGAGACUGCCGGGGUUAACUCGGAGGAAGGUGGGGAUGACGUCAAAUCAUCAUGCCCCUUAUGUCCAGGGCUUCACACAUGCUACAAUGGUCGGUACAGCGAGUUGCCACACCGUGAGGUGGAGCUAAUCUCUUAAAGCCGGCCUCAGUUCGGAUUGGGGUCUGCAACUCGACCCCAUGAAGUCGGAGUCGCUAGUAAUCGCAGAUCAGCAACGCUGCGGUGAAUACGUUCCCGGGCCUUGUACACACCGCCCGUCACGUCAUGAAAGUUGGUAACACCCGAAGCCAGUGGCCCAACCUUUUUAGGGGGGAGCUGUCGAAGGUGGGAUCGGCGAUUGGGACGAAGUCGUAACAAGGUAGCCGUACCGGAAGGUGCGGCUGGAUCACCUCCUUUCUAAGGAG
rnacentral:rRNA from 1 species